CCUACGGGGGGCAGCAGUGGGGAAUAUUGGACAAUGGGCGAAAGCCUGACCCAGCCAUGCCGCGUGUGUGAAGAAGGCCUUCGGGUUGUAAAGCACUUUCAGUGGGGAAGAAAGCCUUGGGGCUAAUACCCUCGAGGAAGGACAUCACCCACAGAAGAAGCACCGGCUAACUCCGUGCCAGCAGCCGCGGUAAUACGGAGGGUGCGAGCGUUAAUCGGAAUUACUGGGCGUAAAGCGCGCGUAGGCGGUCUGAUAAGCCGGUUGUGAAAGCCCCGGGCUCAACCUGGGAACGGCAUCCGGAACUGUCAGGCUAGAGUGCAGGAGAGGAAGGUAGAAUUCCCGGUGUAGCGGUGAAAUGCGUAGAGAUCGGGAGGAAUACCAGUGGCGAAGGCGGCCUUCUGGACUGACACUGACGCUGAGGUGCGAAAGCGUGGGUAGCAAACAGGAUUAGAUACCCGAGUAGUC
rnacentral:rRNA from 1 species